rnacentral:lncRNA from 10 species
GAGACCCCAUCUUUACAAACAACAAGUGAAAAUAACAGCCAGCUGUGGUGACACCCACCUGUAACCCCAGCUACUUGGGAGGCUGAGGCAGGAGGACCUCUUGAGCCUGGGAUGUUGAGGCUGAAGUGAGCUGUGAUCAUCCUGCUACAUUCCUGCAUUCCAGCAUGGGUAAAAGAGCAACACCCUGUCUCAAAAAUAAAUAAAUAUAUUAAUUAAUUAAUUAAGUACUAAUAAAAAAUUAAAAAUUGAUUGGGAGUUCUUCAUGGCCAAGACUUGGCAACUGAUAGCUUUUAGGGGGAAUGUAUGCUGAUUCCUGAUUGUUUUCCUCUACCUCUCUUUCUUAUCUCCCGGUGCAAUCAUAAAUGAUGGCUGGAACUACUCCAUUCCUCUGGAGAUGAAAUCUGCAUUCUCUUGUCUGAGCCCUGGAAGAUUCUUUCUCUGUUUUUGAAUGGGACAAAAGAAGAAGUGACUUCAAAGAAGAGGAAGAAGAGAUGGCUGAAAAGACUUAGAUCAUUAUAAGAUGAAAGAAGAGCCUAUGAGUGGGAAACAGUUGGAGGAUGAAGGAACUGAAAAAGAAAAUUGGGCAAUAUUAAAGAAAAUUAGGAAGACUGAAAGCCUGCAGUGUCUGGGUCAGUGCAAGCUUCAGAUAGACUUAAGAAAGAGCUCAGGGACAUAUACAGAUCACAGAAUUAUAAGACAGGUAAGGAUGUCUACAUCCCUGUUCUUCUUAUUGUCCUUUUGUUCUUUUCUGUUGUCCGAUUAUAAAUGUCAUUUCUUAAAACUGGGCAGAAAUGGAAAUGUUUACUAGCUUUAUUUUGUGAAACUCGAAUGCAAUCAAGUUCCAAAAGAUGUAGGGGGUAAGAUAAGAUGAGUAUGCUAUUAGUUUUAUAGGCCUGUUGGAAUUCUUUUUGUCAUCUUCCUGACAGAGUAAACAUUUACAUGAUUUUUAUCUUGUGGCAAAAAGCUUGAGCAAUAUUGUUUGAUAUGUAAAUAAGAGUAAUACAUUUCAUUCUACAGGGAAUGAUUACCAAGUUGAUUUUUGUGAUUUUUCUGCCAGUUUUGAAAGCAACAUAAUCAACUCUUAUUGUGGAGGUAGUUAUGUUAUUACUUUUAAAAUAUAUAGGUGGAGUACACCUGUAGUCCCAGCUACCAGGGGUGGUGGGAGGCUGAGGCAGGAGGAUCUUUUGAGUGUGGAGAAGUCAAGGCUGCCAUGAGCUGUGAUUGCACCAUCAUAUUCCAGCCUGGGUGACACAGUGAGACACCCUGCCUCAAAAAACAAAACUAAGGGGGAGCGAGGGGUGGGAUACAUAUGGGAUACAUAUAUAUAUAUAGGACAGUUGUAGAAAAAUACCGAUUUUUUAGUGAUUUAACUUUUAACAGUUCUGUCCAUGGCAAAUUUUCCUCCUGGAACAGCUUGGCUAGUAAUACAAGUUUAGGAAAGCAUAUUAAACUUUUUUUGAAUUCUUGAGAAAAUUAUAUACAUGUGACUGUUUUCCUUUAGAAUGACUGCAAACUCUGAACCCCCUUGUUAGAUUUGAUUUACGCUCUUGUGAUCUCUUUGGGACAUUUAUUCUACUGGAGCUGGAAGCUACAGUGGACUCCAUUUUUCUCAGGGAUAUACAGCAGCUUAAGAUCUCCUCUUUCUGGAACCUACCCUAGUUGCUCUAUUUUACCUUUCAGAUUGGUUCAUUUUUGAGUUAGUACAAAUAAUAAUAAUAAUAGUCUUUCUGUUUGAAUUGUUUUUUUGUUUUGUACAUCUCAAGGUUGACCCUGAUAGUCCUUUGCGCAGUGAUCUUCAGAUCUUAAAGGAAAAACAAGGGAUAGGAGACAUUUUUCUUAUCUUUUAAGGCAAGAAAAUUGUUAUGAGACUCUAUAUCCUUCUAAUGGGGGUGUAUAUUUUGUACAAGUGUUUUGGAAAACAGUUUUUUUAAAGUGGAAGAUACUCAUACCCUAUGGUUCAGAAUCUUGUGGAUAUAUAC